CUCUGCUGUACACUGGAAUGGGGUAAGUACUGGACAGACCCUUGAUGAGCUGGAGUCUUGAGUCUCAACAGCUUGGGUUAUCGCUGCCAUGCAAUCUGAUGCCACUUCCUCUGUACACUGCUUAAUAAUUUCCUCAGUACUUACAGGCAUUCUUGACAGACUGUCAGCAUCCACAUUUUCCUUACCUGGACAGUAUCGGAUGGUAAAAUGGAAGUCUGCAAGCUCCGCCACCCAUCUGCAUCCAGUUGCAUUAAGCUUGGCACAUGACAAGACAUAGGUCUCUCUGCGCAGUCGAUGGACCACCACACAGUAUCUUCCACCCUGGCUGUGGAUGUGGGGGGUUGAAUGAUGCUCGGGGACGUCUAUCUGGGACAGCUGGCCCUCAUCACAUUCAUCCCAGCAGUGCCUCCAAAAUGUUACACCCUUGAAAGGGGACAUAUUAAUAAGGAAUCUUGGACACGAUGCCUUCUUUAAAUCAACUUCAUUGAGAAUGAGGUACUGCAGCCAAGAGCUCCCCCUUCUGACAUCUGUAGGCAUGACAACUAAACGGCAACCUGUCCUUCUUCAGGGAUCAAUUGUUUUUGUUAAUAAACUAGUUUGUAAUUAUUUUAA